CGUAUUAGUAUUCAAUUGACAAGUGUCGUGUAAGGAGCACAAAAUUUUAGUUUUACAAAAAAAAAAAACAAAAAAAAUAUGGACGGAAAAAAGAGCGGAAUGGCAACAUGUAAACCAAUUCACAAGUUCCAGAAAGAAGCGAAUAUUACAAUCAAUGGCUACCUCAACUUCCUAAACGAUUACAUAAAAAGAUUUUGCGAAAUUUCCCCACAGAACGUGAUUUGUUUCGCAGCUAGAGAAUGGAACAACUUGCCCCUCCAAGAAAAGGAUCGCUUCAAAAACAUGCGAUUUUGCGGAAUUUCCCCACAGGACUUGAUACGUUUUGGAGCUAGACUCUAACACACCAAUUAUUAACAUAGCUAGCUGCUAGAGAAUGGAACAAGUUGCCCCUCCAGGAAAAGGAACACUUCAAAAAGAUGAAGCAAUCUCAAGUGUUUGGGAGUAAGUCCCAUGGGGACAGCCCCGAUAAAUCUGAGCGGGAGAAACAUAGUCCAGUUCGCUCUCCGUAUUCCCGUGAGAGGGAGUCCAGGAAAAGAAAGGAAAGGAAGCCUUCCAAAUCAGUCAAGAACCAGAUCAAGAAAAAAGCCGGAUCGCCUUUUUUUCUGCCAAAGAAACGCUGGCCAACUUCUUUGGCCAACGCAGGUGGUUGUAUAACGUUUAUGCGCAGGUUUAAAAGGAUGAAUAAGGACAUGGCUCCCAAUGAUCUGUUGAAAAAGGCAACUCGAAUUUGGCGCCGUCUACAUAGAAGCCAGCGCAAGCCAUUGGAGAACCCACUUUGAAUUUUGAGGACUGGAUAGGAAACACUUUUAAGCUUUAGCCGUAAUUCCAAGGAGCCCGGGAGUUCAUACAAUUUUAAAAUAAAAAGAAAGCACAAA